rnacentral:rRNA from 1 species
AUGGAUUCUGAAGAGCGUGUACCCGUGAAAGGUGCGGCCAUGUCCCAUCUCAUGGGCGAGCCAAUGCUACCGCCGAAACCGCUGGAGGCACUAUCACGGGAUCUCAGGAGACUGCACGACCAUGUGCUAUCGACUGAGGAAAGCCUACUAGCCUCAAAGGAUCCAGGAUAUCUGACAUACGCGGCUCGUGUGCCUGAGGGGAAGUGCUACGUCGACACACGGCCCGCGGAGGUGUUCUUCCUGUGGUUUGAUCAUAUCUUUGAGAUGUUUCUGACAAGGCGGCUCGAUUUUACAAUCAUCUGCCUUUUUGCGCUACAUAUGAGCUCCGUCAUUAAGAGUGAAGAAGUCUCGCAAAUCUGUGUGGCGGAUCCGAUCCGCCACAUGCACGAGUCUUUCUUGAGUCUCGGCGACUUUGAGCAUGAAACUGCUAGGGACUACCUCCAAAACUUCAUGGUACAGAAUAAGGACCAGGAAAUUGUCCUACUGCCUUAUCAUCCAAAGUAA